rnacentral:lncRNA from 1 species
CUCAUCUUCUUUAUUUUUCUACAUUUAAUGCCCUACUUAAUUUACUGCAUUGGAGAAGACAGGGAGAGGGUGAGGAAAAUGAGGGUAGGCCUCAAUACCAUAAUUAAUACACUAUUACUGAAAUAGAUCACUGUUGAAAUUUGUACAUAAUUGCUAGACUACACAGGAAUUCUAUAUUAUAUAUAAGCAUAAAUUCACAGGCACAAAUACACAAACUACCACGUGUAUGUAAAUGGAGCUAUUCUAGAGUAUUACACCUUGCCACAAAAGUUUGAUUUUAUUCAUGGGAUCAAUAUCUUACAUAAAAGUAGGAAAUUAAUACUUUUAUCCCCUACACGCCCAGAAUCUUUCCACAGCUGAUAUGUAGGAGCACCAUUUUGUUGCUUUGUAUCUCGAAAAGUGAACGAGUCACAGUCACGCCACCUUAAGACGUCUGGCUGCCAGCUGAAAGGCUGUGCUUACAUCGACCUUGCUAUGAUCUAAAGUGUUUUGUUUACAGUCAAGGCACCGGAGAUCUGUACGGCAAAUAAUGAGAUGGCAGGCGUCUGCUGUAGUAGCAACGAAGCGUGAAAAAAAUACUAUGGAGUCCCCGAGGGAAGAGGGAACGUGGAGAUCAGAGCGCCAUCCUCCUGCGGAAAGUAGGCGGCUGCAAAAGAUAGUUUCCUGCUGAGAGUUGAGAAGUGCCACAUAAGACGCCCGAGAUUUCUGUGUCCUUCACAAGCUGAGGAGAGGAGCAAAGAGCAAAAUAACUUAAAACACCUGUGUGGCAGACAAGUGUCCCAACGGAGUGGCUAGGCAAACCUGCCUCCCAGAUGCAAUGGGGGAGGGGGGAGUUAUGCAGCCCCUAAUGUUUCUGCACAGGUACAGACCUCCUUGCCCAGUUGCCCCUCCCACCACAAGCACACAAUUUGAAUCUUUCCUUGAGGAUGUUUAUAAUGAGGCAGCUUUCUGUCAAUUUCACACUUCUCCUAAACCGACAUAUUUCUAGAGUUUGGAAAUUUUACACUCAUCUGUUUUUGACAUCUUUCAUUCAAUUUAAUAAAUAUUUAUUGAGCACCCUCUAUUAAUUUGCUUACUCUUUCUUUCAACAAAUAUUUAUUGAGUGUCUUCGAUAUGCCAGGCAUUAUUCCAGGCUCUGGGGAUUCAGAAGUAAAC